rnacentral:rRNA from 1 species
AAGGUAGUGUAGUUAACACCUGCACUAUUUGACGUUACCUACAGAAGAAGCACCGGCUAACUCCGUGCCAGCAGCGCGGUAAUACGGAGGGUGCGAGCGUUAAUCGGAAUUACUGGGCGUAAAAGCGCAUGCAGGCGGCCUGUUAAGUCAGAUGUGAAAAGCCCGGGCUUAAACCUCGGAAAUUGCAUUUGAAAAACUGGCAGGCUAGAGUCUUGUAGAGGGGGUAGAAUUUCAGGUGUAGCGGUGAAAAUGCGUAGAGAUCUGAAGGAAUACCAGUGGCGAAGGCGGCCCCUGGACAAAGACUGACGCUCAGAUGCGAAAGCGUGGGGACGCAAACAGGAUUAGACUACCCUGGUAG